rnacentral:rRNA from 1 species
AUUGAACGCUGGCGGCAGGCCUAACACAUGCAAGUCGAACGAGUGGCGGACGGGUGAGUAAUGUCUGGGAAACUGCCCGAUGGAGGGGGAUAACUACUGGAAACGGUAGCUAAUACCGCAUACCAUCGGAUGUGCCCAGAUGGGCUUAGCUAGUAGGGGGGGUAACGGCUCACCUAGGCGACGAUCCCUAGCUGGUCUGGGAGGAUGACCAGCCACACGGGAACUGAGUCACGGUCCAAACUCCGCCGGGAGGCAUCAGUGGGGAAUAUUGCACAAUGGGAGCAAGCCUGAUGCAGCCAUGCCUCGUGUAUGAAGAAGGCCUUUGGGUUGUAAAGUACUUUCAGCGAGGAGGCGUUACUCGCAGAAGAAGCACCGGCUAACUCCGUGCCAGCAGCCGCGGUAAUUC